GGAGUUGGCCAGGCAAUCGCGCCGGAUAAUAUUCGUAUUAUCCGGGGAGGAAAGUCCGGGCUCCGCAGGACAGAGUGCCAGGUAACGCCUGGGGGGUGAAAGCCUACGGAAAGUGCAGCAGAAAAUAAACCGCCCGGUGUCGACUAGUUCGGUGUCAGGUAAGGGUGAAAUGGUGCGGUAAGAGCGCACCGCGCAACGGGUAACCGCUUGUGGCAUGGUAAACCCCACUCGGAGCAAGACCAAAUAGGGGAACAUAAUGCGUGGUCCGCGCUGUUCCCGGGUAGGUUGCUUGAGGUGCAUGGUGACAUGUCAUCCAGAUGAAUGAUUGUCCACGACAGAACCCGGCUUAUCGGCCAACUCCCUUU
rnacentral:RNase_P_RNA from 1 species